CCUAACUCUCUGGAAGCAAGGAUAUAUAAUAUAAUUAGUCCUCAUGAGGAAGUGCGGCCUGGGAUCGAGGCUAUAGGAUUUAAUCAGCUGGAAGGUGUUCUCUCACCUGCUAUAAAAAUAUCCAUUGUCCCCAACAGUGUAGAAUGCUGGGCAAGCCAGGAUCAGAGUGCAGAUCUCAGCAGUGCAUAGUACAGAGGAUGUGGACCGAUGCAUUCAUUAGUAUAGGGCGUGACAAAGGUGUCAUCAAUUAAGAGAACUCUUCCCUUAUCAUGUCCUUUGUGUCCUGUGUUGGGCUACUGUUUGUGUGUAUAGUUGUGUGUAGUUAUAUCCUGGACUUUCAUUAGUUGUUAAUUGUUUGUGCAGUUUGCAUAAUCUUGUUCAAGUUCCUUUG